AUGGAAGGAAAGGCAUACCACAAAAGGGUUGUCAGCAGGCUGAUUGCGCUGCCCGGCGACCUUGUCCGGCUCCGGGGGACGACGGAGCUCCUGGAGGUCCCCGAGGGCCACUGCUGGGUGGAAGGCGACAACCCCAGCCAAAGCAAGGACUCGAGGACAUAUGGCCCUGUUCCACUUGAGCUGCUGGAGGGGACGGUCACACACAUAGUCUGGCCGCCUCACAGGAUGGCUGCAGUCCCCGGCAGGGUCCCGGAAGAAAGGGUUAGGUUGAUCAUCGACCCCGCUGGCUCUGCAAAGGAAAUGACGGCAGUAGCUCAUUCAUGUGGUAGUGUGGCUCCACGCUCCAGUAGUACUGGAGGAGGCCCUUCCUUAGGAUCCCACAAAGAAGGGUCAUGCCGCAGUGAUUGUAAUUUCAUUUGGCUUGUUAGUCCACGGCUUGUGUGA
rnacentral:rRNA from 1 species